AGCUUUGCGCAGUGGCAGUAUCGUAGCCAAUGAGGUUUAUCCAAGGUGCGAUUAUUGCUAAUUGAAACAAAACUUCAUAGGA
rnacentral:snRNA from 1 species